rnacentral:rRNA from 1 species
AUUGAACGCUGGCGGCAUGCUUUACACAUGCAAGUCGAACGGCAGCGCGGGGGCAACCCUGGCGGCGAGUGGCGAACGGGUGAGUAAUGCAUCGGAACGUAUCCUGUAAUGGGGGAUAACUAAUCGAAAGAUUAGCUAAUACCGCAUACGCUCGGGAGAGGAAAAUGGGGGAUCGCAAGACCUCACGUUAUAGGAGCGGCCGAUGUCUGAUUAGCUAGUUGGUGAGGUAAAGGCUCACCAAGGCGACGAUCAGUAGCUGGUCUUAGAGGAUGAUCCGCCACACUGGGACUGAGACACGGCCCAGACUCCUACGGGAGGCAGCAGUGGGGAAUUUUGGACAAUGGGGGCAACCCUGAUCCAGCCAUGCCGCGUGCGGGAAGAAGGCCUUCGGGUUGUAAACCGCUUUAGUCUAGGAAAAAGGAAUGCAGGAUUAAUACCCUUGUGUUUUGAUGGUACUGGAAGAAUAAGCACCGGCUAACUACGUGCCAGCCGCCGCAGUAA